AGGGAGAAAUAGAGACAAACGGAGAAAAAGAGGGGGAGAGAGAGAAAAGAGAAAGAGAGGGAGAAGAGGAGGGGGAGAAAAAGAAUUAGAGGGGAGAAGGGGGGGGGAAGACGGCAAUUUUAGACCAAGGCAGAUCUUUUUCACCCCGACACCUCUUAAAGUGACCCGGGGGUGGGAAAAAGGGCGCAGAGGAAUCCUGGGGGGGGGGAGAAACCACAUACCUCCGUGGCUCGUCCUGCAGAAUAGAGGCAAGGGCGAGGCGACGCCUGGCAAACCGGGCUCGCUAACCACUAGGCGCAGGUCGGCCUGGCUUCAAAAGGGGGAGGGGGACCCCGGGAGCAAGUCGGGGACACCAAGGAGCGCCCGGGGGGGGGGGCGAGAGAAAGCCACGGAAGCAUCUGCAGGCAGACUUACCGGAGGGGGGGGGAAAAAAAUCCUGCCGGGAACCUUCGCGGCGCAAAAGAGACCCGGGACAUCCUGACGCUGCGCUGGAUCGGGCCAAAAAAAAAAAAAAACCCAUACGGGGGAAGAAGAAAAAAACGGGGGGGGGAUUCCUUGGUCCGUCCGCUCCCCCCCUCCCCAAAUUCCAGGCAGGCACCCCCCCCACCCCACUCGCUUCCCCUGGCCGGAUCGGGCCGAGCUUCCUCCGGCGCUGCAUCUCCGAGGAUGGGGCGCUGCUGCUGCUGCUCCUCCCGUCGUCCAGCCGGGGGGGGGGGGCCGCCAGAGCCGGACUCCGCCCGCAUCGCGGCUCCCGCAAGCCGAGGCGAAGCGCCUCCCGCCCCGCUCCCAGCGCCCCGCGGCGGGUUUUAAGCCCCGGCGCCCCCCCCCGUCUUUCCAGCCAGCUCGAGGGGGGGAGGACGGCGUGGGGCGCCCCCCGUGCAGACCCCAUUGGGGGCUGGGCUGCCUUCAACACCCGAGGCAGCCUCGCAGAGUUCAGCCCGUCGGACGCAUCCCAGGCGGAGGUGUGGAUCGCGCGCAAGGCUGCGCCUCUUGAGGACUCGCAAAUGGAAGGGGUUGCCCGGGAAAGGGGGAGAGGACGGGAGGGGGGCUGUUCGCCAGCCGAUCGGAUCGGUCGGAUCCCUUGGCCCGGCCGCCCUCGGGAUCUGCCACCGCCUCCGCCCACUGCUCUCCGGAAACCCCAUCAUCCACGGCCCCACCAGAUCCGCCUAGAAGCGGCUUCUAGUCCGCGGCAUCGACGGCAACCUUCCCGUUUCGCAGCACCGAGCACCCGGAGCGCCGUCCGCGCCCCACCGCUUUGCUCGCGGGGUGCCCAGAGAGUCUGGGGGUCACCCCCGGGGACGAGAAGACCCCCCCCCACACCCCAGGCCUGAUCCUAGGAGCUGUGUGGAGUCCUCAUCUUACGACCACGAUGGAGCCCACACUUUCCGUCGCUAAGCGAGACACUCGUGAAGUGAGUCGGCCCACCUUUUCCUGCCAGGGUGGUUAACCGAAUCCCUGCAGUGCUUCGGGCUGUGGUCACUUUGAACGGUCACUAAAUGAACUGGUUGUAAGCCGAGGACAAUCUGUAUUCCUUCCUCCUUGUCAACGCUGCUAAUAUCGGAUGUUCUGCAUUGAUAACAGAGGGAAAUGGAGCCAUCUUUUUCCCUUUCGCUUUUAGAGUUAGAGAAAUUAGAUGAUGCUGGGGGGGGGAUGUGAACGAGAGAGUCCAGCUAGACAUAACAACACUAAACCUAGC